rnacentral:rRNA from 1 species
CAGCCUACGGGGGGCAGCAGUCGGGAAUAUUGCGCAAUGGAGGAAACUCUGACGCAGUGACGCCGCGUGCAGGAAGAAGGUUUUCGGAUUGUAAACUGCUUUAGACAGGGAAGAAAGAAAUGACGGUACCUGUAGAAUAAGCUCCGGCUAACUACGUGCCAGCAGCCGCGGUAAUACGUAGGGAGCAAGCGUUAUCCGGAUUUAUUGGGUGUAAAGGGUGCGUAGACGGAAGAACAAGUUGGUUGUGAAAUCCCUCGGCUCAACUGAGGAACUGCAACCAAAACUAUUCUCCUUGAGUGUCGGAG